rnacentral:tRNA from 1 species
GGCAAGGUGGCCGAGUGGUUAUUGGCGUUGGCUUUAGGUAAUAUAUCACCAAUGGGAAACCGCGUGGGUUCGAAUCCCACCCUUGUCA